GCUUAGCCUUAAAUCAUGAUACUUACCCCACCUAAGUAUCCGCCCGAGAACUACGAGCACAAACGCUUAAAACUCUAAGGACUUGGCGGUGCCCUAAACCCACCUAGAGGAGCCUGUUCUAUAAUCGAUAAUCCACGAUUCACCCAACCACCCCUUGCCAUGCAGCCUACAUACCGCCGUCGCCAGCCCGCCUCAUGAGAGAAUAGCGAGCACAAUAGCCCACCCGCUAACAAGACAGGUCAAGGUAUAGCAUAUGGAGUGGAAGAAAUGGGCUACAUUUUCUAACAUAGAAUACAACGAAAGAGGAUAUGAAAUAUCCUCAGAAGGCGGAUUUAGCAGUAAAAUAGAAUAAGAGAGUCUAUUUUAAGUCGGCUCUAGGGC
rnacentral:rRNA from 1 species